GGAAGUAAAUCGCGCGGAUCUUCAGAGAUUAGAGUUUGAUCAUGGCUCAGAUUGAACGCUGGCGGCAGGCCUAACACAUGCAAGUCGAGCGGAUGAAAGGGGCUUGCUCCUGGAUUCAGCGGCGGACGGGUGAGUAAUGCGCAGGAAUCUACCUAGUAGUGGGGGAUAACGUUUCGAAAGGAACGCUAAUACCGCAUACGUUCUGAGGAAGAAAGCAGGGGAUCGUAAGACCUUGCGCUAUUAGAUGAGCUUGCGUCCGAUUAGCUAGUUGGUGGGGUAAAGGCCUACCAAGGCGACGAUCGGUAACUGGUCUGAGAGGAUGAUCAGUCACACUGGAACUGAGACACGGUCCAGACUCCUACGGGAGGCAGCAGUGGGGAAUAUUGGACAAUGGGGGCAACCCUGAUCCAGCCAUGCCGCGUGUGUGAAGAAGGCCUUCGGGUUGUAAAGCACUUUAAGCGGGGAGGAAGGCCUGAUGGCUAAUAUCCAUCGGGAUUGACGUUACCCGCAGAAUAAGCACCGGCAAACUUCGUGCCAGCAGCCGCGGUAAUACGAAGGGUGCGAGCGUUAAUCGGAAUUACUGGGCGUAAAGCGCGCGUAGGUGGUUAAGUAAGCGAUCUGUGAAAGCCCCGGGCUUAACCUGGGAACUGCAGGUCGAACUGCUUGGCUAGAGUAUGGUAGAGGGGUGUGGAAUUUCCUGUGUAGCGGUGAAAUGCGUAGAUAUAGGAAGGAACAUCAGUGGCGAAGGCGACACCCUGGACCGAUACUGACACUGAGGCGCGAAAGCGUGGGUAGCGAACAGGAUUAGAUACCCUGGUAGUCCACGCCGUAAACGAUGUCUGCUAGCCGUUGGGGGGCUUGUCCCUUCAGUGGCGGAGCUAACGCGAUAAGCAGACCGCCUGGGGAGUACGGCCGCAAGGUUAAAACUCAAAUGAAUUGACGGGGGCCCGCACAAGCGGUGGAGUAUGUGGUUUAAUUCGACGCAACGCGAAAAACCUUACCCGGUCUUGACAUCCUGGGAACCCUUUAGAGAUAGAGGGGUGCCGCAAGGAGCCCAGAGACAGGUGCUGCAUGGCUGUCGUCAA
rnacentral:rRNA from 1 species